GGCCUUUUGGAAGCUCAUUAGCUUCGGAUUCCAUGGGAACUCCGAAGUUAAGCGAGUUUGGGCUAGAGCAAUCCCAAGAUGGGUGACCCACUGGAAAGUUGCUCGUGAGUUCC
rnacentral:rRNA from 1 species